rnacentral:tRNA from 1 species
GGCGAGGUUCCCGAGUGGUUAAAGGGGGCAGACUGUAAAUCUGUUGCCGUACGGCUACGGAGGUUCGAACCCUCCCCUCGCCA